GACGAACGCUGGCGGCGUGCCUAAUACAUGCAAGUAGAACGCUGAAGCGAGGAGCUUGCUCUUCUUGGAUGAGUUGCGAACGGGUGAGUAACGCGUAGGUAACCUGCCUGGUAGCGGGGGAUAACUAUUGGAAACGAUAGCUAAUACCGCAUAAAAUGGAUUAUCGCAUGAUAAUCCAUUGAAAGGUGCAAAUGCAUCACUACCAGAUGGACCUGCGUUGUAUUAGCUAGUUGGUGGGGUAACGGCUCACCAAGGCGACGAUACAUAGCCGACCUGAGAGGGUGAUCGGCCACACUGGGACUGAGACACGGCCCAGACUCCUACGGGAGGCAGCAGUAGGGAAUCUUCGGCAAUGGACGGAAGUCUGACCGAGCAACGCCGCGGGAGUGAAGAAGGUUUUCGGAUCGUAAAGCUCUGUUGUAAGAGAAGAACGAGUGUGAGAGUGGAAAGUUCACACUGUGACGGUAUCUUACCAGAAAGAGACGGCUAACUACGUG
rnacentral:rRNA from 1 species